AUAAUUAAGUGUCGUAGGGGAUACCGUGAUCAUGCGGGUGGUUCCCCCAGGGCGAGGCUGCCCCAUUGCACUGCGGAGUGGUUGACACUUGCGAUUAUUAUUAUUUUUAGCAAUAAAAAAUCAACAAAAAAUGUAUACCCGAAUAAUUAUUUUCUUUAUAC